AAAUCAGACAUAUGACAACGUUCUGCAAGCAUACUUUGUAUGUUUGAAUAUCUUCUUCCAUGAUCUUGAACCGUCAAGGUUCCAGUUGAGACUGCGACGUGGUACUUCGCCGUAUCUGAAUAGCGUACAUUCCAAAAGCGCAAUCGGUUCCAACCGAGAUGGCCCAGGCGGAGAGAGCUCCCGUGGAUUCCCAGCCGUAGAGAAGCCAGUGCACGACUCCUCCCGGUACAAAGGAAAAGGGAUAGAGGCAGGGGUAGACGCGCAGGUACUUGCCGUACUUGAGAAAUGAAAAGAGCGGCACGAUGCAGUACAUGGACAUGAUGAAUGCUAUCGUGGUCUUGUACAUCGUCACGAAUACGGCGAACAUUCGCAUGUUUGACAAGAGAUCUGGUAGAUUCUCCGGGUUCUUCAUGUCGCUCAUGAACUUUUCGAAAAGCUUAUGUUGCCGGCUCUCGCGUUACCUUAGAAGAUAUCGAAAGAAAACUGGAUGCUGCUGCCAAGCCUCUGACUAGUAUCCUCACGUUUUGAGCAUUGUGCAAGCUGAAGUUAAGCGUGUGUGCCAUUAUCGAAAACGUUGAGAAAAAGAUUGGCAGACGACUGAUUACUAACCUCAUCAGCUAUGAGGUUCCCGUACCAGGCAUACAUGAAGAUUUGAAGAUACUUGGCCAGAAGAUGAGAACACAGCUACAUAACGGUUGCAACGCGAGGCAGCUUCAUCGCCGUCCUUACUGUGAUUAAUCAAAUUUCAUCGCCUGAACUUGCUGAUCAAUCCAUCUGAAGGCUCGAAAACUCUCAACCUGAGAAAAAAAAGAUAACAAUUGUAAUACGUACUUCGAAGAAUGGUAACCAAAAUGCUAAACACAUUCCUUUUGGGCACGGAGGAAAAAAUUGUAUGUAUCGACAUGAUGGUUGUCUCCCUUUUACUACCUUCAAUUCAACGCGAACGUACUAUAAGAAGAAGAACAAGAACAAGAAGAAUCAUUGCGUCCGUGUUCAAGAAACUGAAGUAAAUGUCACCAUCACACGUUUAAAAACAAAAAUAACCUUCUUGGACAAUAUUGACCGGUCAUCGAGAUUAAGAGUCCUAGCUAAAGUAAUUUACUUUAUUAUAUUACAUGAUCGAAGUUACCUACGAAGACGAUUGAUAUACCUGCUAGCUUCUACAACGCGUCGAGAUCUGAAGAGAAGAGAAACUUCAUGCCUGGACCAAUCUGAAGAAGCAGUAAUAAUCAAGCUAAAAUUACACAACUACAUCUGUAAUAAACUUGGAUGAAACUUACCAGUAGAAGAGCUUUGCCGUUAACGUACUUGUUGAAUUUUCUUGAUUUUGGCAUCAUUUGUUGCACAGCAUGACUGACAAGCUGAAAAC